GAUGAACGCUAGCGGCAGGCUUAAUACAUGCAAGUCGAGGGGCAGCAUGAUUGUAGCAAUACAAUUGAUGGCGACCGGCAAACGGGUGCGGAACACGUACACAACCUUCCAACAAGUGGGGGAUAGCCCAGAGAAAUUUGGAUUAAUACCCCGUAACAUAGCGAUGUGGCAUCACAUUGCAAUUAUAGAUUUUUCGCUUGUUGAUGGGUGUGCGGCUGAUUAGAUAGUUGGCGGGGUAACGGCCCACCAAGUCUACGAUCAGUAGCUGAUGUGAGAGCAUGAUCAGCCACGCGGGCACUGAGACACGGGCCCGACUCCUACGGGAGGCAGCAGUAAGGAAUAUUGGACAAUGGACGCAAGUCUGAUCCAGCCAUGCCGCGUGAAGGAUUAAGGUCCUCUGGAUUGUAAACUUCUUUUAUAAGGGACGAAAAAAGGCUUUUCUAAGUCGUCUGACGGUACCUUAUGAAUAAGCACCGGCUAACUCCGUGCCAGCCGCCGCAGUAAUAC
rnacentral:rRNA from 1 species